CAGAGAGAGAGAGUAGUCCAUCAAAGCACAGGGAUUAGAAAACCACUCCAGCUCACUUCAGCAUCACCAUUCAAUUCUGGAUUUGGAUUCAAGAAAUCUGUGUGCCCGAGGCUGUGUCUGUGAGCUGUGUGAGCCCAAAAACAUCACAUCAUGGAUCCUUCAGCCGAGGACCGAAUGCGACGUGGAUAACGAGAGUCUCUAUCAUCCACGUCAAACUUGUUUUUUUUUUUUAAUUGAUUUAUAAAUUUCGGAUACUCGUGGGCUGCAGAGAAAGGCAGACAGGAUCUAGUUUAUACUUUAUACUGAACUCGGCUGGAGGAUUCACCUCAGUUAGAUGUCUCAAAAGCUAGCUUAAAAUCUGAUUUGAAGGAUGGAAGAACACCCUCCCAGUCUCAGAUGAUGAUGAUUGCCAAAGAAAUAUUAAAAACAACUACUUGAGCUGGAGCAAGGAAGCAAACAACAAAUUGGCACAAUUGUUUGUUUGAAUUGUACGGAAAAAUGGACGGAGGCGCCCAGUACAACCCCCGAACUGUAGAGGAGGUUUUCAGGGAUCUUAAAGGCCGUAGAGCUGGAAUGAUCAAAGCCCUAACUACUGAUGUAGAAGAAUUUUAUCAGCAGUGUGAUCCUGAGAAGGAGAAUCUUUGCCUGUAUGGGUUCCCUAAUGAACACUGGGAAGUCAAUUUACCUGCUGAGGAAGUGCCUCCCGAACUCCCAGAGCCUGCACUUGGAAUUAACUUUGCCAGAGAUGGGAUGCAAGAAAAAGACUGGCUCUCUCUAGUUGCUGUUCAUAGUGACGCGUGGUUGCUUGCUGUGGCUUUCUACUUUGGCUCUAGAUUUGGUUUUGAUAAAACUGAUAGGAAACGUCUUUUCACUAUGAUAAAUGAUCUCCCAACAAUAUUUGAGAUUGUAACCGGAGCUGUGAAGAAAGAAGCAAAGGAGAAAUCAUCCAUCUCAAAUCAUAGCAGUAACAAGUCCAAGUCAAACUCAAAAGGGCGAGGAUCAGAAUCUGUCAAGUAUUUGAAGGGGCAACCAAAGGAUGAGGAGGAAGGACUGGAUGAGGAGGAGGAGGAGGAGCACGGGGAUACUUUGUGUGGGGCGUGUGGAGAGAACUAUGCUGCAGAUGAGUUCUGGAUUUGUUGUGACAUAUGUGAAAAGUGGUUCCAUGGCAAGUGCGUGAAGAUCACUCCUGCCAGGGCUGAGCACAUCAAGCAGUACAAAUGCCCAUCAUGCAGCAACAAGAGAGCUAGACCUUGAUAUUAUUAUGGGUGUGGGUCCUCACCUCUGCACUUAUCUCAUGCUCAACUCAGCUAACUCUUUAGCCAGUCAGGUUUUCUAUGUUGUGCCAUGUUACCACAGCAUGUAUGCAUUCAGUACUUUGUUCUUGUGGACAUGAUGUUAUUUGUGUAUUUAGAGUAUGUGGUAGCUUGCAGACCCUUAAUUUAGUGUUGAUACCAUAUUGGGAUCUAUGUAAUUUCCCGCGCGUAGGAAAUCAUAUUCUGUGUCGUAAAGGCAGAAUGUUCUAAUCAUCCACAUCCCCUUGCAAAUUUUGGUAAAUCAACUAAAGAAGACAUUAUAUAGGAAUUAAAAUGAGAAUUCUUAUCCUACUGUCGAUUCCUUAGCAAACAAAGCAUUGAAGUGAGUAGAUUUGCCAGAUAAGGUCUGCAGCAUAACAAAGCUCUUUCAAGUAUGUGUUAGUCUGUCAGUCUGUCUGUAUGUAUGUAUGCAUGCAAAUUUUUUUUUGAGAAAAAAAUAGAAAUAAACAAUCUGAAAAGGAAGCAGAUCCAGCUUUCAACUUCCCAGAAAGCCAGCAAUUUUUCUUAUUUUCGUUUAAGCUGUUCAUCAAUGAAAAUUGUAGGGUGAUGCAGACUUCUUUCCAAAGAAUGGAAUACUCUCGCUAUCAAUCUCCAUUACCAAAGAACCAAAAUAAUAUCUGGCUAUUUCGUACAAAGCAUGACUAGCAACAAUUUUUUU